UACAGAGACUGCAAGCGUUAUUCGGAUUCACUGGGCGUAAAGGGUGCGCAGGCGGCCAUGUGUGUCAGGUGUGAAAGCCCGGGGCUUAACCCCGGAAUUGCGCCUGAAACUACAUGGCUAGAGCAUUGGAGAGGGUAGCGGAAUUCACGGUGUAGCAGUGAAAUGCGUAGAUAUCGUGAGGAAGACCAGUGGCGAAGGCGGGUCUCUGGACAGUUCCUGACACUGAGGCACGAAGGCCAGGGGAGCAAACGGG
rnacentral:rRNA from 1 species